UGGGACUCUAACCAUAGGCCAUGAAUCUGGUCUUGGGACACUGUCAGGUGGGCAGUUUGACUGGGGCGGUCGCCUCCCAAAAGGUAACGGAGGCGCUCAAAGGUUCUCUCAGUACGGUCGGAAAUCGUACGUAGAGUGUAAAGGCAAAAGAGAGCUUGAUUGCAAGACAUACAGGUCGAGCAAGGAUGAAAAUCGGACUUAGUGAUCCGGUGGUUCUGCGUGGAAGGGCCAUCGCUCAACGGAUAAAAGCUACCCUGGGGAUAACAGGCUUAUCUCCCCCAAGAGUCCACAUCGACGGGGAGGUUUGGCACCUCGAUGUCGGCUCAUCACAUCCUGGGGCUGUAGUAGGUCCCAAGGGUUGGGCUGUUCGCCCAUUAAAGUGGUACGCGAGCUGGGUUCAGAACGUCGUGAGACAGUUCGGUCCCUAUCCGUCGCAGGCGUAGGAAAUUUGAGAAGACCUGUCCUUAGUACGAGAGGACCGGGAUGGACGUACCUCUGGUGUACCAGUUGU
rnacentral:rRNA from 1 species